rnacentral:rRNA from 1 species
UACGUAGGUGGCAAGCGUUGUCCGGAUUUAUUGGGCGUAAAGCGCGCGCAGGCGGUCCUUUAAGUCUGAUGUGAAAUCUCGCGGCUCAACCGCGAGCGGUCAUUGGAAACUGGGGGACUUGAGUGCAGAAGAGGAGAGCGGAAUUCCACGUGUAGCGGUGAAAUGCGUAGAGAUGUGGAGGAACACCAGUGGCGAAGGCGGCUCUCUGGUCUGUAACUGACGCUGAGGCGCGAAAGCGUGGGGAGCGAACAGG